AUACGGAGGGUGCAAGCGUUAAUCGGAAUUACUGGGCGUAAAGCGCGCGUAGGCGGUUUGAUAAGUCGGAUGUGAAAUCCCCGGGCUCAACCUGGGAAUUGCAUUCGAUACUGUCAGGCUAGAGUGUGGUAGAGGGAAGUGGAAUUUCCGGUGUAGCGGUGAAAUGCGUAGAUAUCGGAAGGAACACCAGUGGCGAAGGCGGCUUCCUGGACCAACACUGACGCUGUGGUGCGAAAGCGUGGGGAGCAAACAGGAUUAGAUACCCUAGUAGUCC
rnacentral:rRNA from 1 species